UAUACUCAUUCCGUCCAAAAAAAGAUAAACCCUGGUUUCCGUACCCAACGUUUGAUUAUCCGUCUUAUUUAAAAAAAUUAUGAAAAAAAUUAAAAAGACAAGUCACGUAUAAAAUAUUAAUCAUGUUUUAUCAUCUAACAAUAAUGAAAAUACGAAUUAUAAAAAAAUUUCAUAUAAGACGGACAGUCAAAAUUGGACACAGAAAACCAGGGUUUGCCUUUUUUUUUUUUUGGACGGAGAGAGUAGGAAG
rnacentral:pre_miRNA from 1 species